rnacentral:rRNA from 1 species
CCUACGGGAGGCAGCAGUGGGGAAUAUUGCACAAUGGGCGAAAGCCUGACGCAGCAACGCCGCGUGAGGGACGACGGCCUUCGGGUUGUAAACCUCUUUUAGCAGGGAAGAAGCGAAAGUGACGGUACCUGCAGAAAAAGCACCGGCUAACUACGUGCCAGCAGCCGCGGUAAU